GAACAAAGUGGUGUGACCCUGGGUGGCAGGCAGUGUGCGGGCCGGGGAACUGAUCGCUUUAGUACAGUCAAGGUCAGUGCUGCCUGGGGCCUAGAAUAUGUCUUAUGUUCUCUGAAGAGCUUUUCCUGGUGCUCACCUCCUUCCUCUAUCCCACAUGUCAUGCACAACACCCUCUUCCUGUGGCCGCAGCUUUCCCAAACCCCACACCACUGGGCUCCAGAGACAGUUGACCUCCCUCAAUUCCUGUGUGUGACUUCAGCGUGCACUGACCCCUGCUGACCUGGCUUUCUCUUCUCACAGUUGAGGACGUUGAUAAUGCUGUCGACUUGAGAGGAUUUAAGUGAGAUGCUGUAUGAGGAACUUACUACACAAAGGUCUAGCAACCUAGAUCCAGAGCUCAGCUUAUGUCAUCAAGUCUCAGUUUGAAUGAUUCUCUCAGCUUAUUCUUCAUCUUGGCUCCAUUCCAAAGUCAUUCCAUGGUGGCGAUAUAGCUGCCAGCAGCUACACAAACCCAAUGGCAACAGCCCAUGCUCUUCUCCCAGAAGUCCCAUAAGGCAUCUAGCUUCUUUUCAUUGGCUCUGAUUGUGGCCGGCACCCAUCCUUCAUCCGAUCACUGCAGCCAGAAGAAUACAGUGCUCUGAUUGGUCAGGCCUGAAGUUAGGCGUGGAGUUAACUCCACCUGCAACACAUGGACUGAUGGAGAAGGAAAAAAGAUCUGGAAAUCCGAAACACUAGAAGAGUAAAUUGUAUUUGGUUUCUAUUACCCAGUGCAGCAGAUUUAAUCAUUCUGGAAAAAAGUUUUUAUCUUCAAAGGGACUCAAGCUAAAGACCUCCUUUAGGUAUGCUGUCAGUAGAUAGCUACUUUAAGCCUCAUGGCCAAGAUGACUAGUCUCAGAGUGGACUGCAGCCCGUGCUCUCUUCCAGAGCGUGUCAGAGGACAGGCUAUCACAAAGGCGGGCUUUGCAGUGCUGGUUUCCUGAGACCACGGUAAAUGUUGUGGCUGAAGGGGUCAUUAAUGUCUAACCUCCUGUGUUAUUCUGGGUGCACUUCUAAUGCCCAGACCAUUGGUGGCCCCUGGAAUGUGCCCUUGGGUCACAGCAAGCUUUAAGUUACUGUUAAUGAGGUAGUGCAUAUUUGCAUAAACUUUCAAGGUGAAA